rnacentral:rRNA from 1 species
ACGGGUGAGUAACACGUGAGCAACCUGGCUCUAAGAGGGGGACAACAGUUGGAAACGACUGCUAAUACCGCAUAACGUAUCGGGAUGGCAUCUUCCUGAUACCAAAGAUUUUAUCGCUUAGAGAUGGGCUCGCGUCUGAUUAGAUAGUUGGCGGGGUAACGGCCCACCAAGUCGACGAUCAGUAGCCGGACUGAGAGGUUGAGCGGCCACAUUGGGACUGAGACACGGCCCAGACUCCUACGGGAGGCAGCAUG